CAGUAGCCGCGGGAAUACGGAGGGGGCUAGCGUUGUUCGGAAUUACUGGGCGUAAAGCGCACGUAGGCGGCUUGGUAAGUUAGAGGUGAAAGCCUGGAGCUCAACUCCAGAAUUGCCUUUAAGACUGCCGAGCUAGCAGGUGAGAGAGGUAAGUGGAAUUCCGAGUGUAGAGGUGAAAUUCGUAGAUAUUCGGAAGAACACCAGUGGCGAAGGCGACUAUCUGGGCCAACACUGACACUGAGACACGAAAGCGUGGGGAGCAAACAGGAUUAGAUACCCCUGUAGUCCCUGUCUCUUAUAC
rnacentral:rRNA from 1 species